AUUAAUUCUAGAAGCGUUUAUUUUAUGUCGGCAUUGUUUGUAUAACUUCUAUUAAAUAGAAGAAAAUGGCAAAUUAUUUAAAGGGCAAAUAUUGUACGUUUCAUUCUGUUUGUAUAUGCACCAAAAGCUCUGCAUUGUAGUGUUGAUGGUGAUGUACACGAUAAAUCGCCAUCGGAUCGCAUAGAUGAUCUGUUUAAUGAAAUAAGGACGGUUCAAAACAUAGUUGAAACAGAACUGAAAGUAUUUAGCGGUAAUGGCUGCCAGCAAUGCCUCAUCAGAUUACUCGACCCUAACACAGAAGGAAACACAAAUUUGACGGAUUAUCCGAAGGAAUCAAGAGAUGAAAACGCGACAGUAAAUGAAGAUAAUGGAACACAGUUGGAUGUUUAUUCGCAAGAUAUCUUCCAACUCUUGCAGCGUCUUUAUAAUUUAGAACAGUCUGUCUUAGAGAAAGUUGACUCUACACUUGCAUCUCAAGAGCUGAAUGAUAUAACAUGGGUAAAAGGGGAGCCAGGAUCUGCAGGAGUCUCUAGCAUAAAAGGAACAAAAGGAGCCAG